UACGGGGGGGGCAAGCGUUAUCCGGAUUUACUGGGUUUAAAGGGUGCGUAGGUGGGUAGGUAAGUCAGUGGUGAAAUCUUCAAGCUUAACUUGGAAACUGCCAUUGAUACUAUUUAUCUUGAAUACUUUGGAGGUAAGCGGAAUAUGUCAUGUAGCGGUGAAAUGCUUAGAUAUGACAUAGAACACCAAUUGCGAAGGCAGCUUACUACACAGUAAUUGACACUGAGGCACGAAAGCGUGGGGAGCAAACAGG
rnacentral:rRNA from 1 species